GAUGAACGCUGGCGGCGUGCCUAAUACAUGCAAGUCGAGCGAACAGACGAGGAGCUUGCUCCUCUGACGUUAGCGGCGGACGGGUGAGUAACACGUGGAUAACCUACCUAUAAGACUGGGAUAACUUCGGGAAACCGGAGCUAAUACCGGAUAAUAUAUUGAACCGCAUGGUUCAAUAGUGAAAGACGGUUUUGCUGUCCCUUAUAGAUGGAUCCGCGCCGCAUUAGCUGGUUGGUAAGGUAACGGCUUACCAAGGCAACGAUGCGUAGCCGACCUGAGAGGGGGAUCGGCCACACUGGAACUGAGACACGGUCCAGACUCCUACGGGAGGCAGCAGUAGGGAAUCUUCCGCAAUGGGCGAAAGCCUGACGGAGCAACGCCGCGUGAGUGCUGAAGGUCUUCGGAUCGUAAAACUCUGUUAUUAGGGAAGAACAAAUGUGUAAGUAACUAUGCACGUCUUGACGGUACCUAAUCAGAAAGCCCCGGCUAACUACGUG
rnacentral:rRNA from 1 species